rnacentral:misc_RNA from 1 species
UAAAAAAAAAAAAAAGAGUACAAAGCUGCUAUAAUGAUCCCUGAUUGAAUAAUAAGCUCAACUAUAACAAACACUAUGGUUACAAGAGAAUGAGAAUCAUUAAGAAUGAAUUUUGACUUUUGAAAGCAAAAGUUUUCAACUUGCACAAUAUUAAGUAAAAUUAUCCAGAAUAUUUAAAGUGCAUUUUGAGGGAAUUAAGAACAACCUGAUAAGCCUCUGGCCCUUCAGCUAUGACAGUUGCAUGAUAUACAACAUAUUGCAUAUCUGUUAAUGUACACACAGUAUCAAAAAGUAGCUUAGGGCGGUCAGGGCACCUCAAGUUCACAGCCGUGUAUCCCUUAUCUGCACAAUUUUCUACUGUUACAAGGGGUUUGCUCCGUUCACUUGUUGAUCCACAAUCCGCAUCAUCCAUAUCAUAGUCACGAUCAGCAUACAUCAUCUGGUGCAACCUCCUUUCCUUAUGAGUGGAACCCACAGACACAGCUGUAUUUGCACUUCGUUUAUCCCUAUCUCCCUUCAGAACAUACAGGAGGAGCUGUUUGAUCUUAGUGAGUCUAUCAUGAACAUCAAUAGGUAAUCCAGUAGCUUCAUCAGUUAUGUAAACAACUGAUGCCAUUCGUGAAUUGUGAGUCCAGACUUCUGCAGCCACCACGUUACAUUUGAGGUCAGUAAGAACAGCAAAAACUUCUGAAAGCAAGCCUGGACGGUCUCUUCCAGUCAAUUCAAUAGUUGUGUUUUCUGUGGCAGCUUGGACACCUACAGACCUUCUCAAGGACCGGAAGCUGCGUGCUCUUGGUCCCAACGACUGUGACAUGUAAACUAACUCAUCAACAUGACAUUGAAAUCACCUGCCUCCACAAAUAAUGAUGCUAAAAUUUCAUAGUACAGACCAAACAUCAAUCAAUGCUUCUUCCUUGUCUAGUCCUUUUGUCAUUUACUCAUUGAUGUCUCAAAUUAUGGAGUGUGAUUAAAGCAGCUAAAAAUUGUAUUCUACAACUUAAGUACCCAAAAUAACUUAUCGAAAGGACUGGUUCUGUUUCUUCCAUGACUUUUAUAGACCAACAUUUUUUUUUUUUAAAUGAUCCUUAGAAUUGAAUAGCAAAAAUUUAGACUCAAAAUGAAUACAAAAUCAAGAAUCACUGCAAGAUUAUUUCAAAAUUGAAGGAAAGGCUAGAAACCUAAGAACAUAGAAGAACUAAAUGAAGCAAGGUUUUCAUUGACUACCUAGGGCCAUGAUUCAUUUUUGUAAUACAGUAAAGAGUCCAACUUUAGAGUAUCUGAUAAUAAGAAAUCAAUCUAAGCUCCCUUUGAAACCAAAUAUUUAUAGUUUAUUUACAAUAAUUAAAGUUAAGAAAUGGAGACUGGCUUUCCAGAUUUACCUGUUGGAUUCGUUCAGCCACAUCAUCCUUAGAGAGCUUAUUCCCAUGUUGAUCUGUGACAUGAAACACUGCAAAUAACCAGUGAAAACAAGAAAAAUCAACCAUACAGCAAUAAGUUAUAAACCCACCAAAUUAAAUGAAAAGCAAGGGACCAAAAGCUAACCAUCCAUGAACCAUUCCCCAUCGGAAGAAAUGUAAGCUCUUCUAAUUAUAAGAUCCAAAUCAGUCAAAACCUGAACCACCUCCAACAAGCUACCUCGCUUAUUUGCACUAUCAACCUUAAUCAAAGUGGCUUUCCCGCUCGAGUCAUUAUCAACAGUAACCCUAGGAGGGUUCAUUCGAAUCACGAGCUUCUCAAAUUCAUCACCCAUUAUGAAAGAAGGAGACCAACAAUCCAUUUGAACCAAAAAAGGUAAGAAAUUUUCGUGAGAAUCAAGAAUGGAGGUGUCUUAAAAGACUUAGAGAAAUGGGUUAGCUCUGUUUCUUUGCACUUUUGGACUCCGAGUUCAGUUUGCGGCUAUGCGUUUGUUGGAGUGGUGGUGGUAGUACGGGUGGCUUUUGAGUUGGACGAAGAGUUUUGGAGGGACCUAAACUUAACCAAAAA